CAAUGGAUGAAUCAUGAUGUAGUUGGUGUUUGUACUAUAAAGAAUGCAGCUUGCUAAGUCCAUUAUGUCUACAAUGGUUUUUUUUUUUUUAUUAUCAUAAGAUACUGAUCAUGCGAACUGAAAUGGAGCGAACUGAAAUGUCUACAAUGUUUAGCAAUGAACUGAAAUGCGCCGCUGCAUAAUGGAUACAAUGGUGUAUGUAUGUGAACUGAAAUGGAUAUUUGGUAUAGAAUUAAUACCUUGAGUAUCUUGUUGGUUUGUUGUUGUUGAGUUGAAUGAAUUGAGCUGAAAAUUGGUAUUGUUGUUUCAGUAAUUGCAGGUUAAAUCAUGGAAAAAGAUGGAG
rnacentral:lncRNA from 1 species